rnacentral:rRNA from 1 species
UACAGAGACCUCAAGCGUUAUCCGGACUCAUUGGGCGUAAAGCGUACCGAUAGGUGGUCAUGAUAGUUUUGGGUAAAAGCCAGAAGCUCAACUUCUGCGUUUGCUCAAAAUACUUCACGACUAGAGGGGCAAAUAGGUAACUGGAACGAAUGGCGUAGUAGUGAAAUGCGUUGAUAUCAUUCGGAACACCGAAAGCGAAGGCAGGUUACUGGGUGCCACCUGACACUGCUAGGACGAAAGCGUGGGGAGCGAAUGGG